rnacentral:tRNA from 1 species
GCCAUCUUGGCGUAAAGGUAACGCGUUGGUCUUGUAAACCAAAGUUUAUCAGUUCGAUUCUGAUAGUUGGCA